rnacentral:rRNA from 1 species
GUGGGGAAUCUUGCGCAAUGGGGGAAACCUUGACGCAGCAACGCCGCGUGGGUGAUGAAGGCCUUCGGGUCGUAAAGCCCUGUCAGGUGGGAAGAAACUUGUGGAUGUUAAUACCAUCCGCACUUGACGGUACCACCGGAGGAAGCACCGGCUAACUCCGUGCCAGCAGCCGCGGUAAUACGGAGGGUGCAAGCGUUGUUCGGAAUUAUUGGGCGUAAAGCGCGUGUAGGCGGUCAGGUAAGUCAGAUGUGAAAGCCUUCUGCUUAACAGAAGAAGUGCAUUUGAAACUGCUUGGCUAGAGUACGGGAGAGGAGAGUGGAAUUCCCGGUGUAGAGGUGAAAUUCGUAGAUAUCGGGAGGAACACCAGUGGCGAAGGCGGCUCUCUGGUCCGAUACUGACGCUGAGACGCGAAAGCGUGGGGAGCAAACAGGAUUAGA